rnacentral:rRNA from 1 species
AUUGAACGCUGGCGGCAGGCUUAACACAUGCAAGUCGAGCGAGCGGCGGCCGGGUGAGUAAUGUCUGGGAAACUGCCUGAUGGAGGGGGAUAACUACUGGAAACGGUAGCUAAUACCGCAUACCAUCAGAUGUGCCCAAAUGGGAUUAGCUAGGAGGUGGGGUAACGGCUCACCUGGGCGACGAUCCCUAGCUGGUCUGAGAGGAUGACCAGCCACAUGGGAACUGAGACACGGCCCAUACUCCUACGGGAGGCAGCAGGGGGGAAUAUUGCACAAUGGGCGAAAUCUGGAUGCAGCCAGGCCGCGUGUGCGAAGAAGGCCUUCGGGUUGUAAAGCACUUGCAGCGGGGAGGCGGUACCCGCAGAAGAAGCACCGGCUAACUCCGUGCCAGCAGCCGCGGUAAUAC